CUGCUUCAGUGGUAAAAUCUUGAGUCUUGGCUUCACCAUUUGCUUGCUAAGGUGGUCUGGGGCCUGGAAAAAAUUUGAGUGCUAGUCAGGCCACAAGGUCUACGGUUUAGGCAGUGCAGUUCCAGGAGAGACUCCUGCUUGGUGGAUGGAGAAGGAAAGAUGUGGAGGACUAUGGCCUACAGCAUGGAUACCAGCUCAGCUCCAGCAAAAUAAAGCACCAAGCAGAUUCCUGAAGCCCUGGAUUCUAGGUCUUUGCUUUGCUCCUGAAUGACAUUUCUAGAACCACCCUGGGCCAGAAGAAAAUUCAUUGUCCUGAUGGGAUGAACCCAGUCCUGGCAGAAUUCACCACCUGCUGACUAAUGUCGUCUAGAGCCUUGAAUAAAUAUCAGUUGAAGCCA
rnacentral:lncRNA from 1 species